UACAGAGGUCUCAAGCGUUGUUCGGAUUCAUUGGGCGUAAAGCGUGCGCAGGCGGUUCGUUGUGUCGGCGGUGAAAGCCCCGGGCUUAACCUGGGAAUGGCCGUUGAAACUGGCGAACUGGAGUGUGGCAGAGGGGGGUGGAAUUCCGCGUGUAGCAGUGAAAUGCGUAGAGAUGCGGAGGAACACCGAUGGCGAAGGCAGCCCCCUGGGCUAACACUGACGCUCAGGCACGAAAGCCAGGGGAGCAAACGGG
rnacentral:rRNA from 1 species